rnacentral:rRNA from 1 species
CCUACGGGAGGCAGCAGUAGGGAAUCUUCCGCAAUGGACGAAAGUCUGACGGAGCAACGCCGCGUGAACGAUGAAGGCCUUCGGGUCGUAAAGUUCUGUUGUUAGGGAAGAACGAGUGCUAGUUAAAUAAGCUGGCACCUUGACGGUACCUAACCAGAAAGCCACGGCUAACUACGUGCCAGCAGCCGCGGUAAUACGUAGGUGGCAAGCGUUGUCCGGAAUUAUUGGGCGUAAAGCGCGCGCAGGCGGUUUCUUAAGUCUGAUGUGAAAGCCCCCGGCUCAACCGGGGAGGGUCAUUGGAAACUGGGAAACUUGAGUGCAGAAGAGGAAAGUGGAAUUCCAAGUGUAGCGGUGAAAUGCGUAGAGAUUUGGAGGAACACCAGUGGCGAAGGCGACUUUCUGGUCUGUAACUGACGCUGAGGCGCGAAAGCGUGGGGAGCAAACAGGAUUAGAUACCCUGGUAGUCCACGCUGUAAACGAUGAGUGCUAAGUGUUAGAGGGUUUCCGCCCUUUAGUGCUGAAGUUAACGCAUUAAGCACUCCGCCUGGGGAGUACGGUCGCAAGACAGAACUAAAGAAGUAGACGCGUGAGAGUGCGAAGGACGACACGAGGGAGGUAGG